ensembl:sense_intronic Gm29170 predicted gene 29170
CGGCCGCGUCUCCGCAGUGAUCUUGGGAGCCACACCACGAGGGGAAGGAGUCCCUCUGCCUGUGCACUGCUGUGUUCUCCGGACUUGGGACUCGGACACUUGAAUUGCCUCGAGCGUCCUCCUUCCCUGUCUCCCUCCCUCAUCAUCUCCUCCGCGCUUCUCUUGUCCUUUCCACUGUCCCUUCCCUGCGGAGCCUCCCUGUCUCCAGUGUGGUCAGGUGCAUCGCUCAGGCUGUCGGUCCUGCGGAGCAGCCGGUCUAGGGCGUGUGUUUCCCCGGGUGGUGUCUGAGGCUCCAGCCGCCCAGAAACUCGAGAUUCUAGUUUCCCAAAAGCAGAACUUUCACCUUUCGUAUGUGGGCACCUCUUCCGGACCUCCACAGAUAACCGUCUACGCGGGUCUGCACUCUACUUCCCGCAAUUCUUUUACUCCCUCCUUUUUUGACUUCCUGUGAAGUUGAGUUUUCUCGAGGUAGUGCUUUUGCUCAGAGGCCACAUGCUUAGCUCUGAAUUUCUCUCUGACUUUAUUUCCUUCCGUACUACUCAACCAAUAGGACAGUUUAUCCUUCCUCGUGUUCCCAACGUUUUGGGGGAGUUUUUUUUUCCCUCCAUUUUCAUUUUGAUUUUUUCUAAGAUAUUGUUUUUAACUGUUUUGUUAAAAUGUGUACCCAAAAUAUAGCAAACCUUAAUGUAGAUUUUGUGUACUGUACAUGGCUGAAUAUUUCGAGCAUUGCGUAACAUAUGUUCAACUGUACUUCGGGCAUACAGUUACGGAGUUGGAAAUUUUAAUGUGAAUAAUCGGAAUGCUGGUCUGAAGAACUGAGAGUCAAUCUAGAAUAACAUGUUGGUUUACGUUUAAGAGUAUACAGAAAUUGUUUUAACUGUGUAGAUCACAGAGGAGCUGGGCAAAAGGAAGCAUGAUCUAGUGUGGUUACCUAAAGGUAGCUUAUGGAGCAGCCAGCAAAGUAACUAAAAUAUGGUGUAAUGAAUAGGCAGGCAGUGUAGAGAUCUUAGGUAAAAAGGUAAAGCCACGCCAAAUCAGAUACCAUAUUGUAUAGAUUAGAUUGCCUGGAAGUCACUGGGGACUUACUCUGAAAAAGAUGUGGAGAUCAAACAUAAUUAAAAUUAGUUUGUGAUUAACAUGAUUGUGCUUACAGUAUUUAGAGUUAAGAUAGAAUGAAUGAGAUGACUCUUUUUGAAAAUGGUAAGUUUGUGGGUGAUUGGCUUGACAUUAAGCCCUGGGGUACAGAGAAAGUAGAGUCAGCAGUUAGGUAGUAUUUCAAUCUCAGGUUGCAUGUGGAAAUACCUUCUCCUCAUUCUAUUUGGAGCAGGAAUGCAUCCAGAACAUGCUACACUAAAAGAGGAGUUCUCAGGGCUGCCAACCUUACAGUAGAGGUUGAGUAGUAGUAUAUUUCUCCUACAGAAAGAGAAAAGAAAAUUAGCAGGAGUUGACUGACUGUAGGAAAGAAGAGUCAAACGUGCUUCUGGCUUGGGUGGAUAAAUAAAGUAUCAUUUGAAGAAUAGACUUGAUAGGAAAGAAAAUUAGAUCAGUUUUGGACAUUACAGAAUUUGAAAUGUUUACAGGUUAAGUGAUAAUUUUUCCUCUCAAAAUCUUUAACUGUCAUUUAAAAAGUUGACGUUCAGAGAUAGUGGCCCAAGUUUAUUUUGAAACUAAUGCAGUCUAGGGCUGGUGGUAUAGCCAGCCUGGUUACCGAAGCCUGAUGACUCCUGGACCAUGGAAGAAGGAGCUGACCCCUUCUGAAAGCCACCCACUCGUUUGUGGCACAUGUACCUUAGUAUUCUCCACUCACAUACACAAUAAAAGAAAGAAAUUAGUGGAGUCCGUAAACUAGCUGCUGUUUUCAGUUUCACAUGUACAGAAAACUUGGAAUUUGAAAAUAAUUUAAAGUUAGACAUUUUAGUAAUAUAAGUGCAUCUGCACAUACUGAGUAAAGCAGUCGUCAGUAACGGAUUGUUAGUAAUGGAUUGUUGGCUCCUAGUGUAGAAGGAUUUUGCACAUUAAAUGAAGGUAAUUUAUAACAUUAGCUGCUUCAAAGGAAAAAAUGCUUUAUUCUAAUUAUUUUCAUUUUUUCCUUGUCCAGUUCUUAUAUUUACAAUAGGGUUUGGAAGUUUACUUGUCUGAAAGUGAAACAUCUGUUUGUAUUAUGAAUACUAUUGCAAUGUUUUUGAAAUGAACUCACUGUCUAACGUAGCCUUCACUGUGUUGACACAGGUGUAGCAAGAUACAGAUAUCUUUGACAGGAGAGAAGUCUGGAGUAUUUCUUCAUCUGUAAUUACUGCCUCAUGCUUAAAUACGGAUGGGAAUUAAUUGGGUCCUUGAAAUUAAGUCACUUAUGAUCACAUCUAAGGUGUAUUUUACUUUGUUCUGAGGAAAGAAAGAAGAUAAAGCUUGGCUUCACACAAGAAAUGUAGUCUUGGGAAGUACAUACGUAUUGUUUAUAAUUGUAUUCCCCAAAGCAGCACUGAUUCAUUUAAAGGGUAUUAGUCUCUAAUUGAGGGCUCUCAGUCAAGUUCAAACUGUGCAGAUCCUUUGAGAGGUUAGCUGUUUGCUCACAUCACCAGCCACAUAUCAUGUAUGUACACCAUGAUCUUUAUACCAUGGGAUAACUGAGAACAGGGCUGAGGAAAACUUCUGGACUCUUCUUUGUUAGGGACGCAGAAGCUGGAGUCCUCCCUACUGCUUUUGGUAAACUUGGUGAUGGAAAACUUGUUGAGAUUCCAUCUGUUGGAAGAUAGAGACUCUAGCCGUCAUUUAAAAAAGCACUAGCAAUAUUUUAGGAGAACACCAAAGUAUAUUUCAUAGGGAAGGGGGGGUGUUUCCAGGUAUAUUUUUAAGAAAAUUAUUAUCCUAUAUGGUUAGGAUAAUCAUCCUGAUAUCGCUAUACUCUUGGUUUGGAAUAAGUGAGUUUAUUAAGUACACAGCAAGCUAAAGUAAAAGAAUACAUAGCAAAAGAUGAAGUAGACAAAACAUCAAAUUGUGACUGGGGAGAUGGCUCAGUGGAUAGAGCAUAUAUGCUUCUAACUGCCUCUAACUCUAGCUCCAUGAAAUCCUUUGGGUCCCAAGGACACCUGAACUUACAUGUAUGCACACACAUAAUUUAAAUAUUAAAAAAUAAACAAUUAAAAAGAGCAUCACCAUUGGCUGGAGAGUUGCACUGACUGAACUGUUAAAAGCACUGAUUACUCUUCCAUAGGAUAUGGAUUCCAUUCCUAGCACCCACAUGGUAGCUCACAACUGUCUCUAACUCUAGUCCAGAGACCAGUGUUCUAUUUUGACCUCUAUAAGCACCACGUAUCCAUGUUGUGCACAUAUAUACAUGCAGACAAAAUAUUUAUACAUGUAAUUAAAUCUUAAAAUCCAAACCAGGCACUUAAAAUCUAUGAGGUUCUUAAUAGAUCUAGCAGAAAUGCGUUGGGGAAGGAAAUUGUUGGCUGGAGCUCCUCAGAGAGUUUCGGGCAGAGCAGAAUGUCCCCUCCAGUGAACCUUCCAGGUACAGGAACUAAUCACAACAUGCACAGAUCCCAGCAGAAACCGACUGGACAAGUUGAGGCCAAUUUAAUGAUGCUUUGCUGUCUACCUGUAAUUUACUGAUUGUUCAUUUACUUUGAAUUGCUAUAUAUUUAAUAAAAUCACUCAUUCAAAACCAAA